GUGGGUGUAGCUCAGCGGAAGAGCACUGGUUUUGAUUACGAGUGGCUGGAGGUUCGAAUCCUCCCACCUACA
rnacentral:tRNA from 1 species